UCCCUGAUGGCUAAGGCGGUAAAGCAUCUGCCUGCAAUGCAGGAGACUUGGGUUUGAUCCCUGAAUUGGGAU
rnacentral:tRNA from 1 species